AAGUGGUAGGAAGCCGAAAGGUGACCGACCCUUCGGGGAGCUUGCACAGGUGCUGCAUGGCUGUCGUCAGCUCGUGUCGUGAGAUGUUCGGUUAAGUCCGCUAACGAGCGCAACCCUCGCUGUGUGUUAUAUGUGUCACACGGGACUGCCGGUCUUAAGCCGGAGGAAGGUGGGGAUGAUGUCAAGUCAGCAUGGCCUUUAUAUCCUGGGCUACACACACGCUACAAUGGCCAACACAAUAGGUUGCUAAGCCGCGAGGUGGCGCCAAUCCAUAAAGUUGGUCUCAGUUCAGAUUGUAGGCUGCAACCCGCCUGCAUGAAGAUGGAGUUGCUAGUAACCGCAGGUCAGCUAUACUGCGGUGAAUACGUUCCCGGGGCUU
rnacentral:rRNA from 1 species